rnacentral:lncRNA from 1 species
GUUCAUAUCAUCCCGAGCUCACCAUGGCAAGACCGCUUUUAUUGACGCCGCCACAGGCCGUCACCUCAGCUUCUCUGAGCUCUGGAGAGCCGUUGAUUCCGUUGCGUCGUGUCUCUCCGAGAUGGGCAUCCGAAAGGGAAACGUCAUCCUCCUCCUAUCUCCCAACUCCAUUUUCUUCCCCGUCGUCUGCCUUUCCGUUAUGUCACUCGGCGCCGUUAUCACCACCACCAACCCUCUAAACACCCCCCGGGAAAUCGCCAAGCAGAUCUCCGAUUCGAAACCCGUCCUCGCCUUUACGACUCGACAACUCGUCCCAAAACUCGCCGAUUCAAAGCUUCCCAUCGUUCUCCUCGAUGAGGAGCUUGCCAUUCCCU